UACGUAGGGUGCGAGCGUUAAUCGGAAUUACUGGGCGUAAAGCGUGCGCAGGCGGUUCGUUGUGUCGGUGGUGAAAUCCCCGGGCUUAACCUGGGAAGUGCGCGGAAAACUGGCGAGCUUGAGUGCCGGAGAGGGUCGCGGAAUUCCCGGUGUAGAGGUGAAAUUCGUAGAUAUCGGGAGGAACACCAGUGGCGAAGGCGGCGACCUGGACCGGCAUUGACGCUGAGGAGCGAAAGCCAGGGGAGCGAAACGGG
rnacentral:rRNA from 1 species